rnacentral:lncRNA from 1 species
UAAUUAUGUAUAUAUAUAUUUCUCUUUUUUUUUGUAGAUUGUGCAAAGCUAAAUGCCCAGAUGGGCGAAUUGACUGCACAGAAGGUGGAAAAUGAGAUACUUCUUGAGGUAAUACGAGCGCAAACUGUUACCAAAUGAUGGAUAUCUGUGUAUGUAAAUAUGUAUGUACAUAUGUAUACAUAAGCAUCUUUUUUUUAAUAGGAAGUUAAAACUUUAGAAGACGAUGCUGUUUUACAUAAACUAGUUGGUUUAGUCUUGGUAAAAGAAGAAAAGAGUAAAUGCUAUGACACUAUAACGAGAAGAAUACACUACAUACGUGGGGAAAUGGAAAGCAGAAAAAAAGUCAUUAAAAACUUGGAGGAGAAACUAAAAAAGUUGUUCGCGGAUGUAAUAUAAUAUAUAUAUAUAUAUAAGACAGUUAUAUUUAUCCUAUA